rnacentral:rRNA from 1 species
UGGGGAAUAUUGCACAAUGGGCGCAAGCCUGAUGCAGCGACGCCGCGUGCGGGAUGGAGGCCUUCGGGUUGUAAACCGCUUUUGUUCAAGGGCAAGGCACGGUCUUUGGCCGUGUUGAGGUGGAUUGUUCGAAUAAG